rnacentral:rRNA from 1 species
CCCUUAGAUGUUCUGGGCCGCACGCGCGCUACACUGACAGAGACAACGAGUACAUUUCCUUAGCCGGAAGGCUUGGGUAAUCUUGUUAAACUCUGUCGUGCUGGGGAUAGAGCAUUGCAAUUAUUGCUCUUCAACGAGGAAUGCCUAGUAAGCGCAUGUCAUCAGCAUGCGUUGAUUACGUCCCUGCCCUUUGUACACACCGCCCGUCGCUACUACCGAUUGAAUGGCUCAGUGAGGCCUUCGGACUGGCUUAGGGAGGUUGGCAACGACCACCCCGAGCCGGAAAGUUGGUCAAACUCGGUCAUUUAGAGGAAGUAAAAGUCGUAACA